rnacentral:pre_miRNA from 1 species
UUUUUAGUAUAAAUAUGUCCCAUACAGUAUUGCUGGGGACAUACUUAUACUAAAA